GUGGUGUGGGCUUCACACCUGCCUACAGCUCUGCCCCUGCUGCAGUGUGAUCGUGUCCUUGGGGCCCCAGAGCACCCAAGACACAGAGGAAGGGCAGAAGAGGAGCUGUCUGCCUUACUGUCCUCAUCAGCAUUUCCCUCCAUGUCCUCUGCCUGAGAAAACAAGAGUUUCCCAGCAUGAAGAGAGCUGGUGGCCUGGGACAAACUGAAGUGCAUGUGUGAAUCAGGGACAGCUAUAAGUACUCUACAUGUGACAUUUCUGGAGACAGGGUAUGGCGUCCCAGCCAGUGCGUGAGCCUGCAAUAACCAAUGGCUUCCUAUGCAUUGAUACAUCUAUUAUAGAGAGAUGGAGGUAAAUCCCCCAGACGGUAAAUAUUAAGUCAGAACAUAAACUUGCUGUUUUUGGAG
rnacentral:lncRNA from 13 species